UGUUAAUUUUAUAGGCUACCCAAGACCGUAGGGACAUUCGUUUAAAAAUCCUACAUAGGUGGAAAUACUUAUUUUGUAUUUUAUCUCUACUCUUGGUAGAGAUUUUUUAAUAUGUAG
rfam:Parvimonas micra strain KCOM 1535, complete genome.